AUGCUGCGCCAACCUGUCCCAAUAUCAGCGCGUGCACUCAACGGCUUAUUUGUUGCACUCGCGCGUGCGCCGCCCUCAACCGCCUGCACCAAUGCCUCUGCCCUCGCCAUCGAUCUCUUCAACCGCAUGGCCCAAGCAGGUCGUCGCCAGGUGACAGCGCCCACCAUUUACACCUACAAUAUACUAAUUGACUGCUGCCAUCGAGCAUGCUGCCCGGACCUAGGGCCUGCCUUCUUCGGCCGCCGCCUCAAGACAGGCAUACCGACGGACAUCAUUACCUACAGCAACUUAUUCAAGUGCCUCUGCGACAUGAAGCGCACGGAGGAGGCUUUGGGCGUGCUGCUCCACAGGAUGCCCGAUGACCUGCCUGAUGUCAUCUCCUACUCAGUAAUUCUCAAGAGUUUAUGUGACAAUGGUAGGUGCCAGCUCGCGCUUGACCUGCUCCGGAUGAUUGCCGAAAAAGGAUCUGACCACUCCCCCAGCGUGGUGUCAUACAGCAUGGUAAUCGAUGGUUUCUUCAAGGAGGGUGAAAUAAGCAAAGCAUGUGAUCUGUUCCAUGAAAUGAUGCAGCAGGGGGUUGUGCCCGAUGUGGUGACGUAUAGCUCUGUUAUCGAUGCUCUGUGCAAAGCAAGAGCAAUGGACAAGGCAGAGGUGGUUCUUCGAUCAAUGGUUCAUAAUGGUGUCCAACCAGAUGCUGUGACAUAUAAUUGCCUGAUCCAAGGAUAUUCGACUUUGGGACAGUUGAAAGAAGUCGCUAGGUUGUUGAAAGUGAUGAGAAGCCAAGGUGUUAUGCCAAGCGUUGUUACCUACACCUCACUCAUGGACUACCUUUGCAAGCAUGGAAGAAUCAAAGAAGCUGAGGAAAUAUUUUAUUCCAUGGCUGUGAAUGGACGAAAACCAGAUAUAGUCUCAUACUCUAUUAUGCUCCGUGGGUACGCUAUAGAAGGAUCCCUCAUUGAUAUGAUCCAUCUCUGUGAGCUGAUGGCAAGAAAUGGAGUUGUACCCGACCUCUAUUGUUUCAACAUACUGAUUAAUGCAUGUGCUAAGCAUGGAAUGAUGGAUGUGGCCCUGCUUUUCUUCGAAGAUAUGUUGAAGCAGGGGGUGAAGCCUAAUGAAUUCACUUAUUUAACUGUGAUAUCUGCAUUUUGCAAGAUGGGCAGGAUGGAUGAUGCGAUGGAAAAAUUCCGUGAGAUGAUUGAUAUGGGAGUACCAGUUGACACAGAAGUUUACAUGUGCAUGGUUGAGGGUUAUUUUAAAAAUGGUGAUUCAGUGAAAGCCAAGGAUUUUAUUACCAAAAUGAAGAACAAGGAUAUUUCAAAUAGGCCGCAGAAGGGUAAUUGA
rnacentral:rRNA from 1 species